UUAAAAACUGAGAAAUAUACAUUCUGAUCAAUAAGUAUCCGGACUGUUGCUAUAGUAACGAAUCUAAAGCACACAGAGUGAAACCGCUUGGCGCAGAUUGACCAUGAACGCUGCUGGGCAUGCGCACUAAGUUUUACCGUUCUAGCUCACUUCCGCUGUUUA